CAUUCGGUACUUUCCCUCCCUGCUACUUUAUCCAUGGAUUUAUUACUGUGACGAAGUGCCCUUCUCCACUUGUGCCUGGAGAGGACUGCUUGGCCGCCUCUUGCCCUGUGACUAUGGACCCUGGGAGAUUUGGCCCGUUCAAUUCAGUAUGAUAGGAGUUAUGUAUUUUUGUAUCCUUUUGUGUUUUACUGGGAACAUGUGCUCAAUGGAGUCUGCCUCUAUCCCUGGAUAUAAUUGGAUUAUGUUCCCCAUUGUCUCCAGGAUAGAGGGCUCUGUAAAACUGGUUUGGGCCAGAUAGCCAUGCUGCCAGCCAUGCCCCAAAAGAUACUUUACUAACUUCUGAACCCCUGGUCUGAUUCAUGCCAUUUUUUGAUAUGUUGUUUCCCUGAAUGGAUUGAUUGUGAAUAUAUAAUUUUUAUGUGAAUGUGAUGUAUAUUUUAGAAGUUAUGAAUAUGCUGUAAAAACUGUAUUUUUCCUACCUGUGAUAAUUGAUCUUCUAUUGUAUAAGAUAAUUGAAUCACAGGCAGAGGGGAGGAUUUUGUGUGGGCUGUAACCUCUGUUUUAUUGGCUACUGUAGAUAACGUGUGUGUCCC